rnacentral:lncRNA from 1 species
UCUCUCUCUCUCUCUCUCUCUCUCUCUCUCUCUGCCUCCGCUGCUUCUUCUUCCUCCACCCGUCGGUCCACCCGUCCACCCCUCAUCGGCGGCCAGAAUUUGGCGAGAAGGUCGUCGGAGGAGGAGGAAUCUGAGCUUGGAACCCUAGAUCUGACGGGGCGACUCCCAAUCUAGAAGACGAGAUCAUUCCAUGGCGUCAAUCCUGAGGAGGGGCAGCUUCUCUCUGGCGGUGGCGCUGCUGAUCUGCUCCCUCGCGGCGUCGCCGGCGGCGGCGACGGCGGACGCGCCGACGGCCUACGAGAUGCUGGAGAAGUACGGCUUCCCGAAGGGGAUCCUGCCGGAGGGGGUGACCUCGUACGUUCUGCGGGAGGAUAAGAGCUUCGAGGUCCAUCUGGGAGGCCGCGGCGACUGCGAUUUCGCGGUGGAGGGGGGCUACCUGCUCAACUACAAGAGGAAGAUCUCCGGGAGGCUGGACGAGGCCGCCGGAGCUUUGACGGAGCUCAAGGGAGUCAGCGUGAAGGUGCUCUUCGUCUGGUUCGGGAUCGGCGAGGUCGUGCGGGGGCAGAACUCCCUCAGCUUCUACGUCGGCCCCCUCUCCGCCUCCUUCCCCCUCUCCAACUUCGAGGACUGCCCUCACUGCCGCU